rnacentral:rRNA from 1 species
GACGAACGCUGGCGGCGUGCUUAAUACAUGCAAGUCGAGCGGAGCGGCGAACGGGUGAGUAACGCGUGAGUAACUGCCCCCUCUCUGGGCUAACCGUUGGAAACGGCUGCUAAUACCGGAUAGUUGGGGAUGACUCGGGUCCUAUCAGCUUGUUGGUGGGGUAGUGGCCUACCAAGGCGACGACGGGUAGCCGGGCUGAGAGGGCGACCGGCCACAUUGGGAUGAGAUACGGCCCAAAAUCCUACGGGAGGCAGAAGUGGGGACUAUGGCACAAGGGGGGAAACCCUGAGGCAGAAACGCCGCGUGCGGGAUGACGGCCUUCGGGUUGUAAACCGCUAUCAGCCAGGACGCGGUAGUGGCAGAAUAAGCACCGGCUAACUACGUGCCAGCAGCCGCGGUAAUAC